GUUGAUGCGAGAGAAUGAUGAAAAUCUUGUAAAUAGGUAGGAGGCUUGUGGGGACGAGUUGAGCGACGUAAGGUUGGGGUAGGAACAUGAGAUGGAUUUGUAGAAGAAGGAGGUUGAUGUUGAUCAGUGGGAGGAGGAAAAGGAUCCAGUGUUGCAGAAUCAUAUGUGAAAGAUAAAGGUGUAAUGGUAGGAAUAGGUGUAUCUAUGGCAUCUGUUUGCAGGGAAGGAAAAUGAUCUUCAUAAAAGUAAACAUUGCGAGAGGUAACAAUGUUUCGAGU
rnacentral:lncRNA from 1 species